ACGCCCCGCAAGGGGAGUGGCAGACGGGUGAGUAACGCGUGGGAAUCUACCCAUCUCUACGGGAUAGCUCCGGGAAACUGGAAUUAAUACCGUAUACGUCCUGAGGGAGAAAGAUUUAUCGGGGAUGGAUGAGCCCGCGUUGGAUUAGCUAGUUGGUGGGGUAAAGGCCUACCAAGGCGACGAUCCAUAGCUGGUCUGAGAGGAUGACCAGCCACAUUGGGACUGAGACACGGCCCAAACUCCUACGGGAGGCAGCAGUGGGGAAUAUUGGACAAUGGGCGCAAGCCUGAUCCAGCCAUGCCGCGUGAGUGAUGAAGGUCUUAGGAUUGUAAAGCUCUUUCAGUGGGGACGAUAAUGACGGUACCCACAGAAGAAGCCCCGGCUAACUUCGUGCCAGCAGCCGCGGUAAUACGAAGGGGGCUAGCGUUGUUCGGAAUUACUGGGCGUAAAGCGCACGUAGGCGGAUAUUUAAGUCGGGGGUGAAAUCCCGGGGCUCAACCCCGGAACUGCCUUCGAUACUGGGUAUCUUGAGUUCGGAAGAGGUGAGUGGAAUUGCGAGUGUAGAGGUGAAAUUCGUAGAUAUUCGCAGGAACACCAGUGGCGAAAGCGGCUCACUGGUCCGAUACUGACGCUGAAGUGCGAAAGCGUGG
rnacentral:rRNA from 1 species